CGGGAGUAACAACCUGGAAACAGAUGCUAAUACCGGAUAAUAACAGAUGAUGCCUAUCAACUGUUUAAAAGAUGGUUCUGCUAUCACUCUUGGAUGGACCUGCGGUGCAUUAACUAGUUGGUAGGGUAACGGCCUACCAAGGCGAUGAUGCAUAGCCGAGUUGAGAGACUGAUCGGCCACAUUGGGACUGAGACACGGCCCAAACUCCUACGGGAGGCAGCAGAG
rnacentral:rRNA from 1 species